ACUAUACCUAUCUCACCGCAUUCCAAAAAUUGUGUACAUUUGUUCAAAUUUGACUGAGUUAUAGCGGAAAACAGACGAAAAUAGAAGCCACCGCCCAAGUGGCGCGAUUCCCUACAUAUGCAAAAUAAACUUUUUUUUUCAGAGGGGGAUCUCAGUUAAUAAUUGCGAAAGAGCUCAUAAAACACUAAGUUAUGGAGGUAGAACCUUUCAGCAAUUUAAUACGAUUUGCGUUUAAAAUAUUGGGUAGGGUUGGGCUCUAAAACAGCAUAAAUGUGUUUGAUUGCAAAAAAAAAAGUUUGGUAGUUUUUAAAAGAUACACGAGAUUCAUUCGCUGCAUAGUUUUCAUAUGAUGCCAAAUGGCAUCGUCUAAAUUUAUAUUGAUUACAAAAAUGACAAUGCUGAGUGAAAAACACCUUUGUUUCUAUAGUUCAAAAAAGGACGACAAAAUCGGGUCGCCACUGUAUGUAUUUCCAAAUAACCUGGAUAUCCCCUAUUUCAUUGAUAUUUUCACAUUUAUCACCGCCUGCACAAUGCUUUAUUUUCCCAUUUUCACGCUCUUCAUAAUUGAAUGCUCGUAUGAUUGAGGAGAUAGAGGAAUGAUGCUUUCGGCAUUUCUCUGAAACUUUGAAGAUGCAAAUCUCUAGUUCUACUGUAUCAAUUGGGCUGAUAUUUUUUAUGCUUACAUGUGAUGAACAAUCGACUAAGUUUUCAGUUAGAUCAGUCCACUGGAACUGGAGGUUUGCAUCGUCAAAGUUUCGAAGAUAAUGAUGAUGAUGAUUAGGGACGAUGGAAAUUCGCGAUUUCGCGGAAGCCGCGAAAUCCGCGAAAUUGGAUCUUGACCGCGAAAUUUGAAAUAUCCCGCGAAACGCCGCGAAAUCUGGCAAAUUUGAGAAAACACCCCACAAAUUUUAAUUACCUAUUUUCAAACUUUUUGGUAGAAAUUGGCUGUUAGCUUUCGACAGUGUAGAGUCAUUUACGAUUCCUUAUCUCUUAGAUAAUUAAUACAUAGAUAUGCAACUUAACCCAUAUCCGCCCAGCGUCCUAUUUAUAGGACAGAUGGCCCGAACGCCCAGCGUCCUAUAAAUAGGACAGUCCUUUUGAUGUGAAUAUCUCCAGAAUUAUGCAAAAUUUUAGAAUACUUUCUUCGGAGAAGAUGGUCUCCACACCCAUACCUUGCUCAUAGUGGACAAUAUAAUAUGUGACUGGUUCACUAGGUGGCGUAAACGAUGCUGCAAAGAUUACAUAUUGUCACGAUCUAUGAGCUUCAUUUCCAAUGCGAAAAUAAUUUAUUUCCCUGGAAUCUUGACAAUAAUUAAUGAUUUAUAGUUCAUUUCUUCGGCAGAGUUGUUUAUCAAUACAUACAAAAGUUAAUGUAUGUAUGAUUGUAUGUUUAUAUGCUUGUAUGUUUAUAUGUUUGUCUAUUUGUAUGUUGAUAUGUAUGUACGUAUGUAUAUUAUGUAUCAAUGUACCGGCAUAACUCUGGAAUGCGUCAAGAAAUUUCAAUCAAAUUUUGCAUACACAUUCCUUAGGAUGUGAAUGUGGUAGUAGAGUAAUUGGAAUUCAAGAUGGCGGCUUAGGUUCCAAUAUGGCGGUCAAAACUCCAGAAUAUAUGCUUUUUAACGGCAAUGCUGCUUCGGAUACUAUGCAAUAUGGGUAUCUAUCGAUCGGGCUUCAUAAGUAGAACUUAAAAAUGAAUAUCCGACGCCAUUUUGAAAUCCAAUAUGGCGGACCAUAUCCAAGAUGGCGACCAUGGAAUGGUAGUUUGAUCUAUAAUACCAUGCAAUAUGGGUAUCUAUCGAUCGGGCUUGAUGAGUAGAAGUCAACAAUCGAUAUUUUACGCCAUUUUUUCAAUCAAAGAUGGCGGACCAUGCCCAAGAUGGCGGCCACGGAAUGAGAGUUUGAGCUAUGAUACCAUGCAAUAUGGGUAUCUAUCGAUCGGGCUUCAUUAGUAGAACUCAAAAAUGAAUAUCCGACGCCAUUUUGAAACACAAGAUGGUGGACCAUAUCCAAGAUGUUGGCCACGGAAGAGUAGAUUGAGUUAUGAUACCAUGCAAUAUGGGUAUCUAUCGGUCGGGCUUCAUGGGUAGAAGUCAAAAAUCGUUAUUUGACCCUAUUUUUAAAUCCAAGAUGGCGGCCAUGGAAUGGUAGUUUGAGCUAUGAUACCAUGCAAUAUGAUUAUCUAUCGAUCGGGCUUCAUUAGUAGAACUCAAAAAUCGGUAUUUAACAUCAUUUUAAAUCCAAGAUGGCGGACAAUAUCCAAGAUGGCGACCACGAAAUGAGAGUUUGAGCAAUGAUACCAUGCAAUAUGGGGGCCCAUAUAGCCGAGGCGGUAAACGCACGGGUAUUCAGCAUAACCAUGCUGAGGGUGACGGGUUCGAUUCCCAGUCGGUCCAGGAUCUUUUCGUAAAGAAAAUUUCCUUGACUUCCUUGAGCAUAGAGUAUCUACGUGCCUGCCACACGAUAUACGCAUGCAAAAUGGUUAUUGGCAGAGAAAGCUCUCAGUUAAUAACUGUGGAAGUGCUCAUAGAACACUGAGCUGAGAAGCAGGCUUUGUCCCAAUGAAGACAUUACGCCAAGAAGAGGAGGAGGAGCCUCUCAGAAUUCCUUCAGUAAAUCCUCUCGAGAUUCCUUCAGGGAUUUCUACCGGGAAUGUUCUUCCCCCAGCGUUAUGUUUUUCAGACUUUUGUACGUAAUUCUAAAUUGCAGUUGGUAGACCGAAUAAAACUGAAUUUUUGGGUGGUUUAUCAUUUUUCAUGUAGCCGAAAGACAUCUUUUCGAUGUAACAUUGAUAGUGCCCAGACUAGCACCAUAAAACCUACAUAUUGUUCACGAAUAAAAAAUCAUGGAGUAGUACAAACAUAAGUGGAGAGGCAGUCUAGAGUAUAUCUGGUUGAAAUUUUAUAUCAUAACAUGGAAUGAUGAUGAACCUGGGCGUGUUAGUGAAAUACAUGUAAGUACGAGACACUGAAGACGACCUUUUAUUUGAGGUCGAAAUAAAUAUCUGUCAAAAGAUACAAAUUAAAAGGAACAGUAUACAACACCAUUUUCUUUUUAAACAUGCUACAUUUCCGAAAAGUUUAUGUAUGGUGAGUACGUAAAGAGGGUUUGUGGGGUACUAAAGGAAAAACUCAAUUACUUUAUUAGAAAUCAUUAUCUGUGUAAAAUCUGACUUCUACAGUAUUUUAACGUUUGGUUAUGCUACACAUAGUGAGCACUCUUUAUUUGAUUUGUUACAAAAAAAUAAAUUUGAAAAAUGUAGAACCACAGACAAACAGACGUAACACUUCGAACAUUUUUCGAAUCAAAUCAUAGUCACGGAAACAUGUUCGCCCAAUGCUAAAAGGACUGAGUUUGGCUAGAUGGCGGUAGUGGGCAAACGUCAAACUCGAGCAAAAACGAUGCGAGCGCCACGGGUGGUCAGUUGGCCAACUAUCGAAUUUUCAAAUAGACCGUUAAAUCGGUGUACGAUGCAAAAUAUCAGAGUGUUACGUCUGUUUGUCUGUGGUAGAACACUGCAGUCGAAACUACAUGAAAAUACAAGGACCAUGCAUUGCAUACUUUUAGGCGUUUAUCGGGUUAUAUUUCUGCCCCAAUUUAAAAGUCCUUUUUCUAUUCUUUUUGAGUGGUUAUCAUUUUUUCAUUUGUUUAGAGCUGUAUCGUAUCUAUACGGAUCAGAAUAUAACGAUAGCGUAGAAGUUGUGCUAAAAUAGAACUCGAAAAAAUUAUCAGAUAUUGAGGACCUACAAUGAAGAAUUUUUUUGGAACUACACCAUAGACUUCCAUUUUUUUCGUCGAAUCAUGCUUAUUUAAUUGGAACUUGACCUUUGAUAACAAAUUUAUUCAAAGAUUUGAAUUGUGAGACACCUUGGGCGUUAACGGGUUAAGAAUAUAGCUGGCAACAAAUCAGUAGCGCCUAUCAGAGAAUGGUGGUCGACGGGUGAACUACUCAUUUACUCCUCCCUGCGCAUUUGUAGCCUGUAAUUUAAGGUAUCCAAGCAACCUUCUAAAGAAGGUUUGAAAUGUGUUAUCAAUUCACUCAAACAAGCUGUCAGUUCGCGUUCGUUCAAGUUGGAACCGCAACAAAUAUUUCGCAGUACGGCUUCCGGACCAAACAUUUCAUACUGUUCUGGUGAUAAGCAGCUCGAACGAUGUGAGAAAUGGAAGAAGACAUUUGACGUCGUCCGCUGCUCAAAGGAUACCAAAGCUUUCCGCAAGCAUUUCGAGACGAAGAUUCAGAAAACCCGCGUUACAAAUAUCAUGGGUGAAGAUUGAUUAUGUUGUAUUAUAACGACAAAAAAUCUUUGGCACAAUUUCUUUGUAGGCUGAGAUCAAUUGAACCUUUUCUGAACUGCAAUACCGUGGAGUGAAACUCAUUUCAAGAAAUUUCUCAAUAGAUGUGACGGGAGAAUUUGAAAUCUAUGGUACGCGAGAUUCUACUUCAAAUAUACCUUUGGUGACAAGAAGACUAUACGACGACCCCAGCAAUUCUUUUUACCAUCUAAACUUCUUUUUCCGAUAAAAAUCGUUUAUUAAAUUUGAGUACACUUGCUCUACAUCAACGGUGUCCCUGUGUCUACCAUCUCUAUUAGAACUAGCCCUAGGGGUAUUGACUAACAGUUUGUAAAAAGAUGACCUGAAUUAAUGACGGGGGUUUGUACCUACUGAUGGACAGAAACGUGGCCCAGCAAAACAAAAAUCAGAAUUUUAAGCGAAGCAGGUUUAUCGGGGUUAUUUUUAAUCUGAUUCCAACAAUCUUUGGCUUAUUCUAGUACAACAACUUAUGCUUUACCGAUUAAUGAUUAAUUAUGACUCCAUAAAAUGUGUGGGUGCGCCGGAAUAGAUUUCUCGAAAGUAUUUGGUUGAUCAUACACACUUUUCAAUGCAACCCUACCAAGUUAAGACAAAUCGAUAUGACUAAAAAAUAUCCAUCGGACUUGAUUAUAAAAAACUAAAUAAUAAAGGUGUACCAGAAUAUGUAGCGCCACCCAGAUAUAGUCAAAGGGAACGCGUAAUGUUGCUGUAAGCUUCGAGGUACAACCCAAUCCAAAAAAUCGCGAAUGCACGAUAUAGAAAAUUAGUAGAGCGAGAAGCUUUUUUCUGUACUGACCAAUAGAGUCUGCAUAAAUUACGAGGCGUUUUAAAUCCGAUUGAGUAGACGAGGUAUCGAUCAUUAAUUAACAGCACAAGUUCCCAGGAGUUGACUGUUCUGAUGAUCCUUCUGAAGUCCUAGCUUCUGAAAAUCCUAGUUAUGAAGCGCGUACUGCAGGUUCGUGUUGAGUUCGUCUCAUUUUGUUGUCAUUUGUUUUCACUCAAUAACAACACUUUAGUUGCCAAGGUUUCAGCAAAACCAUUCAGUGCGCAGGGUAGUUCAACUGAAAAGCGCACCUGUUUCGGUGAUUUACUUCACCCGUCGACCAACAGAUGGCGUUAGGUUAGCGAAGCCAACCGCAUGCAUACUGCGAUGGUUAAGUUGGAAAUCUAUGUAUUAUACCGCAUUUAGUUCACCACUGGACUGCGAACUGCGACUUCAUAAGUGCGAAAACGUAAAUAAAAGUGCGCGAUUGCAUCAAAUCAGAUUGAUAUCUUCGGCGCACUAUUUCUUCAAUCUAUGGUGAACAAGUGCUCUGAAGACACCGAGUUGAUUUGAUGCUAUCGUGCACUUUUAUUAGCGUUUUCGCACUCGUAAAAACUAGUGCGAUAGUCCAGUGGUGAACUAAAUGCGCUAUAAUUAUCUAAGCUUAUCUGCAUGAUAAAAAUUUAAUGCAUUUUAUAUUUAUGCUCUCAUCUGAUUUUCAUCAGAUUCGUUACUUUUUGAUGAAUUUUUGAUUACACUUCACAAAAUUCAAAUAAAUUCUUCAUUUGGCCUUCAAAAUUCAAGUUUUUCUCAACAAAACGGUCAAAAAUAUGAGUCCGCGAAAUUCACAAUGGUAGCCCGCGAAAUUUGAGAAAUUUUGCCGCGAAUUUCCAUUGUCCCUAAUGAUGAUGCAAGAGACGGAAGAUAACAAAAUUAACACGGUGUCGCGUAUCACCUGUUACGAGUACUUCUGGAAAGCAAAUUGAAAAUUUAUAUUAAAGCAGACGCAGUUAGCUUUGAUUAGGAUAAAAUGAAAGUGGGGUUAAUUUUUAUCAAAAUGGCCAUGACUUUUAGUGACAAGUAAGUUAUACCCUAGACAGACAUGUGAUACGAGUGUGAUACACUUGCAACGGUAAAUACGCAGUGUCAAGAAAAUUCUAACAAUACUGACUUGAACGGAGAGAAUUGUCAGUAUGGCACUCAUUUAGAGCGCAAUUGUACAGUGAUUCCUGUAUCACAGGUGUGUCAUAAGUAUUAGAUUCAAAUGCAGUAAAAUCGUAGUAUGGACAAUUUUCACAAAGGUAAUAUUUUCUCAGCAGACAAUCUAACCAUUAUUUGAAAGCUUUUUAGAUUACUUUCUAAUAAGUAUAAUUGACAUUUUUGUAUUUAUUUAUCAUAUGGAAUAUUUCUACUGUUGAUGGAUUCUGUAGAUCAGUAGUGAGUUGUCUAGUUGAAUGUCGGGAAUUUCUUGAGAAUGAGAAUAUUGCCGACUGUUUUGACAUCGCGCGAACGUUAUCAAUCCUCGCAAUAUUUUUGAUUUUCUGAUCUUUCAUGAUCACUAGUAACGCUUGCAAACAUCUGUAGAUGAGAGCAGCAGUAUUUCGAAAUUUAUGUUUUUGCUGUACAGUAUGACAAAUUAUUAUGUUGUUUAUGUCUCUGAAAAGAAUCAGACUGUAUUUAGUUUGCAAAUCUGAUUUCAUUGAUCAUAAUUAAUAAUUAUCUUAAAGAUAUAUCGUCAAGCUCAAACCUUUGUAGGGGUAUGUGGCGGGACCAUCAUCAUCAUCGUCAUCAUCAUCAUCAUCAUCCUCAUCUGCACAUUUUUGUAAAUAUAUUCCCCAGUAUAUGUUUACUGAGUUGGCACAACCUGCGCAGUGAAAGAUUUCUCUCAAGGCAGAUAUUUGCGCAUUUCAAAAUAGCAAGAAUCUCUGCUUGAAACACCGUAGGAUAGUAUCGCAUCGCCACUGAAAUGUGUAUUCCAGGGCCGUAGAUUUCUGCUCCCGUUUUUUAUUCCAACUUUUGAGCCAUCUGUAUAGAAUUUGAUUGAUUCUUGAUGAAAAGUGGGACCUCCGACUUCUCAAUCUGCUGUUUCGUGCAACUUAUUGAUAUAAGGAUGAUGAUCGGUAUUAAUUAAAUGCAAGACUACGAUCCUAAAUGUAUUUGCAGUUCCCCAUUUAGGAUAUUCAGAACGUAAUGUUCAAUAUUAGGUUAUCGGCCGCCCUAGACAAUAUACCAAAAUUGCGUGCUUUGCAGCCUAACAUUGCAGUAAGCUGAAGAAUUUUGUAAUGUCAUUUUGGGAUUUGUGGUUAUUAUCCUAAUUCUCUAUAAAAAGGUUGCCAUUUAUAACUUGUAUUUUUUACACCAUUUUUUGAACUCCGGACAACCAUAUUGCAUGGUGUCGGAUAAAAAACUCCAUUAAAAAUCGUAAUAUUGAACUGUGCACCACUAUACUGAUUUGAGACAUCAUUUUGGAGUUACUGAUCACCAUUCUUGGACUCCGGACAGACUCCCCAUACUAAAUAUACCCAUAUUUAUUGCAUAAAAUUAGAGUCUAAAACUUCAAAAAACAGUAAAAUAAACAUAAAUAUUGAAUUUUGGGCCGCUUCCUUGGAUGUUUUGGUCGCUAUUUUAGGAUACCGGACAUCAUCUCUAUAAAAAAUAUAUUCAUAUUGUUAGGGUUAGAGCCUAAAACUUCUUAUAGCAGCAGCUAUCAUGAAUUUUGAGCUACCAUAUUGGAUUCAUGUCGCCAUCCUGGAAAAUUUGGCCGCCAAAUUUAGGCUCCAGACAUCUUCUUUAUACUAAAUGUAACCAUAUUCCAUGGUUUCAGUAGUUUCAGAGCUUAAAACUUGUUAAACAGCCACAAUCAUGUGUGUUGAGUCGCCGUCUUAGAUAUUUUGGUCGCCAUAUUUGGACUUCUUUAAACAACCACCAUUUUGAAUUUUAAGCCGCCAUAUUUGAUUUUAGACCACUAUCUUGAAUAUUUUGGUCCCCAUUUUCGGAAGAUGUCCGCUCCAUACAAAGUAUACCCAUACUACAUGGGGUCAGAGCCUAAAACACCUUACAGCUGCCAUCUGAAACUCUGGGCAGCAUGGUUUCAGAGCUCAAAACUCUUCAAAACAUUCGUCAUCAUGAUUUUUGAGUCGUUGUCUUAUGGACAUUAUGGUCACCAUAUUUGGAAUCCGGCCAUCUUCUCUACACCAAAUAUACCCAUACUGCAUGGUUUCAGAGCCUAAAGCACCUUGAAACAGCUGCCAUAUUGAAUUUUGGUCCGCCAUCUCGGCUUUUGGGCCACCCUCUUGGAUAUUCUUGUCUUGUCACCAUUUUUAGAUUCCGGCCUUCUCCAUACCAAAUAUACCCACAUUGCAUGGUUUUAAAGCCUUACACUCCUUAAAACAGUCGCCUUGCUAAAGUUUACACAAUUCGGCGCAAUUUGAUGUGCCGCGCAUGAAAGGGUUAGUUUUAUACAUCACCAGUUCACCGAAGCUGGUUCGGAUCACUAAAACAGCCAUAACUCCUUUUCUGUACAUACAUACAUACACACAAACAGACAUCAUCUCAAUUCGUUGAACUUAGUUGAUUGGUGGUAUAUAUGUAUGACUUGACCCUCCGAACCUUCUGUCGAAAUUUCGUUUUUUGAGUGAACAAAUAGCUUUUCACUACACUUUGGUGUACGAGAAAGGCAGAUAGUGAAACUUUUGAAGAAAAACUAGAAAGGACGAGCCAAUUCCGCUGCUUUGCUUUUCUUCGGACAGAUAGUCAUAUUUCCGUUCCGGAGAAGUCCUUAGAUAAGCGAAGAAGUGGAAUUAGAAGGAAUUUGCUCGUUCUUUUUUGUUUCUUUUUUUUUUAAGUUUAUUUUUCUAGCUUUCUUUUGCAAAAGUGAAGUAAUAGUGAAGUGUUUUUUAACUAGUGUUUCAAGUGCUGAAGGAAUAUUGUAAUGUUCAGCCUAAUUAACCCUAGAAGGAUGUUGGGGUCAAUAUGGUCUAGACAGGCACGCUGGACGUGCACUACGUCAUCGUGGUGCUAAAAUCCUAACAUCCUAGGAGGGCACAGCCGCAUUUGUUUUAAUACAAGUGCGUUUAGUGAGUUUCCGAUUGCAUUCAUUUUGUCAAUCGUUUUUACCAAAAUUUUUUAAAGAUCUUCUUAAUGUUGUCUGAUUUACAAAAAAUAGUGACCUUUCAAGGAUCUAACUAAAAAACAAAGCCCAAAUCACUAAAAAAUAACUCGGCUACCAUUGUAUACUCAUGCAUACCAUUUUCUUUACCAGCGAAAGAAAAUGUCCACUCAUUGAUAUCAUUCAUCAUACUGGCAGUGCAAUCAAGAUCAUUGUUUUUUGACAUCACAGCGUAGAUGCAUAUCAAGUAAGGUAUUGAGCUGUUUCGUCAUUGUUUUACAGUUUCUCA